CCUACAGUGCCUCAGUGAGAAGCAAGCGAUGAAACCCUUCUACCGGAGACACCUCACGCACAUGACGCCGUGGAGCAGGGCGUCGACGCCAAAGCACAAGCAGAUGGGGAUCAUACUAAGUACACAGAAGAAAAAAGGCCAGAAGGAGUAAAGCCAACAAAUGUCAAUGCAGACUUUGCCAAGAGGCUCUGAACUACAACUCCUGGAGCUUUCAAGAGAAAAGGUUACCUCUGCAGACUGACAAGGCCGAGUUGGAACUUUUCAAGCCAGAGAAGUCAGCCCAUGGCCGCCACGCUGGCGGGCUGACACAGGAGCCGCCAUUUCCU